UUCUAUUAGUAUAGAAAAAGUGAUCAUCCCGAUAAAUCUGGUACCCACCUGACACCAUAUAUACUAGUAGUUAUU